rnacentral:misc_RNA from 1 species
GAUGAAGAACGCAGCGAAAUGCGAAAAGUAAUGUGAAUUGCAGAAUUCAGUGAAUCAUCGAAUCUUUGAACGCACAUUGCGCCCGCCAGUAUUCUGGCGGGCAUGCCUGUCUGAGCGUCAUUUCAACCCUCAUGCCCCUAGGGCGUGGUGUUGGGGAUCGGCCAAAGCCCGCGAGGGACGGCCGGCCCCUAAAUCUAGUGGCGGACCCGUCGUGGCCUCCUCUGCGAAGUAGUGAUAUUCCGCAUCGGAGAGCGACGAGCCCCUGCCGUUAAACCCCCAACUUUCCAAGGUUGACCUCAGAUCAGGUAGGAAUACCCGCUGAACUUAAGCAUAUCAAUAAGCGGAGGA